UGACAUCAGAGCGUUGCCCUGGAGAAGCAGAAGGCUGAAGGAGACUUUAGGUUCUGGGCGUAGUAAGCUGGGAUGCCUGUCAGCCAUUCAAAGAGGCAGUUAUGGCUCACACCUGUAACCCCUACGCCUGGGGAGGCUGAGGCAAGCGGAUCACCUGAGGUCAGGAGUUGGAGACCAGACUGGCCAAUGUGGCAAAACCCCAUCUCUAAUAAAAAUUUAAAAAUUAGCUGGGCAUAGUGGUUACACACCUGUAGUCCCAGCUACUCGGGAGGCCGAGGCAGGAGAAUUGCUUGAACCUGGGAGAUGGAGGUUACAGUGAGCCAGGAGAUUACGCCACUGCACUCCAGCCUGGGUGACAGAGUGAGACUCCAUCUCCAAAAAAAAACAAAAACAAAAACAAAAGCAAAAAAAGAAGUACAGUCCACAACACAAACAAGAAAUGAAGUUUUCUGUGUUUUAAACACACUCUUUAUAUGAACACCACCCUUUAUUUAAGCUAGAUGGGGCUGAGAAAUAGGGUAUUUGAAGCCUCAGAUUGACCCAUGUGCCUGAAAAAGUUCAGAGGUGGUGCUUGAU
rnacentral:lncRNA from 1 species